UACGUAGGGUGCAAGCGUUGUCCGGAAUUAUUGGGCGUAAAGAGCUCGUAGGCGGCUUGUCACGUCUGCUGUGAAAUCCCGGGGCUCAACCCCGGGCGUGCAGUGGAUACGGGCUGGCUAGAGGCAGGCAGGGGAGAACGGAAUUCCCGGUGUAGCGGUGAAAUGCGCAGAUAUCGGGAGGAACACCGGUGGCGAAAGCGGCGACCUGGACAGGCACUGACACUCAACUACGAAAGCGUGGGGAGCAAACAGG
rnacentral:rRNA from 1 species